AACAAGGUUUCCGUAGGUGAACCUGCGGAAGGAUCAUUAUUGAAUGAACUUGGUGUGGUUGUCGCUGGCCCUCUCGGGGGCAUGUGCACACCCACCAUUCUCAUCUCUCCACCUGUGCACCUCUUGUAGACCUGGACUUUUGGACCGUUUCUGAACGGUAGGGAACUUGUUCCCCUUAGCAUUUUCCAGGCCUACGUUUUUCAUAUACCCCAUAGUAUGUAACAGAAUGUAAUCAAUGGGCCUCAGUGCCUAUAAACCUUAUACAACUUUCAGCAACGGAUCUCUUGGCUCUCGCAUCGAUGAAGAACGCAGCGAAAUGCGAUAAGUAAUGUGAAUUGCAGAAUUCAGUGAAUCAUCGAAUAUUUGAACGCACCUUGCGCUCCUUGGUAUUCCGAGGAGCAUGCCUGUUUGAGUGUCAUUAAAUUCUCAACCUUUAUUAGCUUUUGCUGAUAAUGGCUUGGAUGUGGGGGUUAUCUUUUGCCGGCUUCUUUCACGAGAGGUCAGCUCCCCUUAAAUGCAUUAGCCGGUGCUCCCGCGUGGACCGUCUAUUGGUGUGAUAAUUAUCUACGCCGUGGAUGUCUGCAAUCAUAUGGGAUUUUGCGCUGCUUCUAACCGUCUGUUCAUUCGGACAAAUACAUGACAAUUUGACCUCAAAUCAGGUAG
rnacentral:rRNA from 1 species